GCCCUCUUCAGCAAUACUCCCACUCCAUCCGUAAAUGCCUCUGACCAUGGCUUACACCAGCGUUAUCUGAUCACUGAUGGCUUUGGCUUUCCAUCAGAAGCAAGGAAUCUCAUCUCAAUGUCCCCUAGUCUCACGCAGAAAGGUGCUUCAUAAAUGAUCAUCCUCAAUAAUGACAUCCAAAGAGAGCCGAGGAAAUGAAGAUGUUCUUGGAUCUUCACCACAGGUUGCUGGGGCUCAGAGACCUGCUACUGGCUGAUCAACAUCCCCAACCAUCCUGAGGGCAGCUGGCAGUUCCUGCUUUCUGCCCGAGGACUUGAUCAGACAGCAGUGUGAGGUGUUCAGAGCGAACCUUAUGUGAUAAAGGCCACAACACUGAGGAGACACUUGGAGUUAGACGACAAGGAGGAAGCACCAGCAGCAGUGACCUGGGCAGCCUUCCUGGGGAAAUGUGGCCCCUGCCACUCCUGGUGGCGUGUCUUCUGCCCCACAGGGGAAAGGCAGAUGCAAGAGAAAAGAAAAAGCUGCAGGAGUUUCCUCAAGUGUGAGGACUUUGUGCUGACAGCAGCCGCUCUCUGCUGAGGAAGGUGAGGAACAGCGUGUGGCCCCACCCUUCUGGCAACACUUCACAGAGAAACUUCUUCUCAGGGGCUGCAGAGCUGGGCCACC
rnacentral:lncRNA from 1 species